rnacentral:rRNA from 1 species
UAGGGAAUCUUCGGCAAUGGGGGCAACCCUGACCGAGCAACGCCGCGUGAGUGAAGAAGGUUUUCGGAUCGUAAAGCUCUGUUGUAAGAGAAGAACGUGUGUGAGAGUGGAAAGUUCACACAGUGACGGUAACUUACCAGAAAGGGACGGCUAACUACGUGCCAGCAGCCGCGGUAAUACGUAGGUCCCGAGCGUUGUCCGGAUUUAUUGGGCGUAAAGCGAGCGCAGGCGGUUUAAUAAGUCUGAAGUUAAAGGCAGUGGCUUAACCAUUGUUCGCUUUGGAAACUGUUAAGCUUGAGUGCAGAAGGGGAGAGUGGAAUUCCAUGUGUAGCGGUGAAAUGCGUAGAUAUAUGGAGGAACACCGGUGGCGAAAGCGGCUCUCUGGUCUGUAACUGACGCUGAGGCUCGAAAGCGUGGGGAGCAAGCAGG